rnacentral:rRNA from 1 species
UACGGAGGGGGCUAGCGUUGCUCGGAAUUACUGGGCGUAAAGGGCGCGUAGGCGGCCAUUUAAGUCAGGGGUGAAAUCCCAGAGCUCAACUCUGGAACUGCCUUUGAUACUGGGUGUCUUGAGUAUGAUAGAGGUAUGUGGAACUCCGAGUGUAGAGGUGAAAUUCGUAGAUAUUCGGAAGAACACCAGUGGCGAAGGCGACAUACUGGAUCAUUACUGACGCUGAGGCGCGAAAGCGUGGGGAGCAAACAGG